UACAGAGGUGGCAAGCGUUGUUCGGAAUUACUGGGCGUAAAGGGCGCGUAGGCGGUCUUGCAAGUCCUGUGUGAAAUCCCUCGGCUCAACUGAGGAACUGCACAGGAAACUGCUUGGCUUGAGUUCGGGAGAGGGAAGCGGAAUUCCGGGUGUAGCGGUGAAAUGCGUAGAUAUCCAGAGGAACACCGGUGGCGAAGGCGGCUUCUGGACAGCAACUGACGCUGAGACGCGAAAGCGUGGGGAGCAAACAGG
rnacentral:rRNA from 1 species